UGGACUAUAGCUUAAUACCAUAGCACUUGCCUAUCAUACAUGAGGCCCUGGGUUCAACCCCCAAUACUGCAA
rnacentral:tRNA from 1 species